rnacentral:tRNA from 1 species
GCGGGCGUGGCGGAACUGGUAGACGCGCCAGACUUAGGAUCUGGUGACCGAAAGUCGUGGGGGUUCAAGUCCCUCCGCCCGCACCA